GGUGUGGCGCAGUGGUAGCGCGCCUGUUUUGGGAACAGGAGGUCGUCGGUUCGACCCCGACCACCCCGA
rnacentral:tRNA from 1 species